AUUGAACGCUGGCGGCAUGCCUUACACAUGCAAGUCGAACGGCAGCAUGGGUGCUUGCACCUGAUGGCGAGUGGCGAACGGGUGAGUAAUGCAUCGGAACGUACCCGGAAGUGGGGGAUAACGUAGCGAAAGUUACGCUAAUACCGCAUAUUCUGUGAGCAGGAAAGCGGGGGAUCGCAAGACCUCGCGCUUCCGGAGCGGCCGAUGUCGGAUUAGCUAGUUGGCGGGGUAAAGGCCCACCAAGGCGACGAUCCGUAGCGGGUCUGAGAGGAUGAUCCGCCACACUGGGACUGAGACACGGUCCAGACUCCUACGGGAGGCAGCAGGUGGGGUAAUUUUGGACAAGUGGGCGCAAGCCUGAUCCAGCCAUGCCGCGUGAGUGAAGAAGGCCUU
rnacentral:rRNA from 1 species